rnacentral:rRNA from 1 species
UAGCUAGUUGGUGAGGUAACGGCUCACCAAGGCCACGAUGCAUAGCCGACCUGAGAGGGUGAUCGGCCACAUUGGGACUGAGACACGGCCCAAACUCCUACGGGAGGCAGCAGUAGGGAAUCUUCGGCAAUGGACGAAAGUCUGACCGAGCAACGCCGCGUGAGUGAAGAAGGUUUUCGGAUCGUAAAACUCUGUUGUUAGAGAAGAACAAGGAUGAGAGUAACUGUUCAUCCCUUGACGGUAUCUAACCAGAAAGCCACGGCUAACUACGUGCCAGCAGCCGCGGUAAUACGUAGGUGGCAAGCGUUGUCCGGAUUUAUUGGGCGUAAAGCGAGCGCAGGCGGUUUCUUAAGUCUGAUGUGAAAGCCCCCGGCUCAACCGGGGAGGGUCAUUGGAAACUGGGAGACUUGAGUGCAGAAGAGGAGAGUGGAAUUCCAUGUGUAGCGGUGAAAUGCGUAGAUAUAUGGAGGAACACCAGUGGCGAAGGCGGCUCUCUGGUCUGUAACUGACGCUGAGGCUCGAAAGCGUGGGGAGCAAACAGGAUUAGAUACCCUGGUAGUCCACGCCGUAAACGAUGAGUGCUAAGUGUUGGAGGGUUUCCGCCCUUCAGUGCUGCAGCUAACGCAUUAAGCACUCCGCCUGGGGAGUACGACCGCAAGGUUGAAACUCAAAGGAAUUGACGGGGGCCCGCACAAGCGGUGGAGCAUGUGGUUUAAUUCGAAGCAACGCGAAGAACCUUACCAGGUCUUGACAUCCUUUGACCACUCUAGAGAUAGAGCUUCCCCUUCGGGGGCAAAGUGACAGGUGGUGCAUGGUUGUCGUCAGCUCGUGUCGUGAGAUGUUGGGUUAAGUCCCGCAACGAGCGCAACCCUUAUUGUUAGUUGCCAUCAUUCAGUUGGGCACUCUAGCAAGACUGCCGGUGACAAACCGGAGGAAGGUGGGGAUGACGUCAAAUCAUCAUGCCCCUUAUGACCUGGGCUACACACGUGCUACAAUGGGAAGUACAACGAGUUGCGAAGUCGCGAGGCUAAGCUAAUCUCUUAAAGCUUCUCUCAGUUCGGAUUGCAGGCUGCAACUCGCCUGCAUGAAGCCGGAAUCGCUAGUAAUCGCGGAUCAGCACGCCGCGGUGAAUACGUUCCCGGGCCUUGUACACACCGCCCGUCACACCACGAGAGUUUGUAACACCCGAAGUCGGUGAGGUAACCUUUUGGAGCCAGCCGCCUAAGGUGGGAUAGAUGAUUGGGGUGAAGUCGUAACAAGGUAGCCGUAUCGGAAGGUGCGGCUGGAUCACCUCCUUU